AAUGUGGCUAGAUCCAUGCUUAGCUCAACUAUUGGUUUAGCUCAGCUUGGCCAAUAACACAAUCACUGAAGCUGGUCCACGUCAUGGCUGUACUGUUAACAACAGUCAGUUGUCGUCACGUUCUGUCCGACUCGGUGAUCA